rnacentral:rRNA from 1 species
AGUUAACGCUGGCAGCGUGCAUAACACAUGCAAGUCGAGCGGAAUAGUUGCGAUUACAUCAAGAUUAUUUAGCGGCAGACGAGUGAGUAACACGUAAGAAAUCUACCCUAGAGCGGGGGAUAACUAGCCGAAAGGUUAGCUAAUACCCGUACGAUCGAGGCCCGGCAUCGGGCUUCGCUGAAGGACCCGCCAAGGGUCGGCUCUUGGAGGAUCUUGCGGCCUAUCAGCUAGUUGGCGGUGUAACGGACCACCAAGGCGAUGACGGGUAG